AGUGAACGCUGGCGGUAGGCCUAACACAUGCAAGUCGAACGGCAGCACAGUAAGAGCUUGCUCUUACGGGUGGCGAGUGGCGGACGGGUGAGGAAUACAUCGGAAUCUACUUUUUCGUGGGGGAUAACGUAGGGAAACUUACGCUAAUACCGCAUACGACCUACGGGUGAAAGCAGGGGAUCUUCGGACCUUGCGCGAUUGAAUGAGCCGAUGUGGGAUUAGCUAGUUGGCGGGGUAAAGGCCCACCAAGGCGACGAUCCGUAGCUGGUCUGAGAGGAUGAUCAGCCACACUGGAACUGAGACACCGUCCAGACUCCUACGGGAGGCAGCAGUGGGGAAUAUUGGAACAUGGGCGCAAGCCUGAUCCAGCCAUACCGCGUGGGUGAAGAAGGCCUUCGGGUUGUAAAGCCCUUUUGUUGGGAAAGAAAAGCAGCAGGUUAAUACCCCGCUGUUCUGACGGUACCCAAAGAAUAAGCACCGGCUAACUUCGU
rnacentral:rRNA from 1 species